rnacentral:rRNA from 1 species
UGCAGUCGAACGGUGAACACGGAGCUUGCUCUGUGGGAUCAGUGGCGAACGGGUGAGUAACACGUGAGCAACCUGCCCCUGACUCUGGGAUAAGCGCUGGAAACGGCGUCUAAUACUGGAUAUGUGACGUGACCGCAUGGUCUGCGUCUGGAAAGAAUUUCGGUUGGGGAUGGGCUCGCGGCCUAUCAGCUUGUUGGUGAGGUAAUGGCUCACCAAGGCGUCGACGGGUAGCCGGCCUGAGAGGGUGACCGGCCACACUGGGACUGAGACACGGCCCAGACUCCUACGGGAGGCAGCAGUGGGGAAUAUUGCACAAUGGGCGCAAGCCUGAUGCAGCAACGCCGCGUGAGGGACGACGGCCUUCGGGUUGUAAACCUCUUUUAGCAGGGAAGAAGCGAAAGUGACGGUACCUGCAGAAAAAGCGCCGGCUAACUACGUGCCAGCAGCCGCGGUAAUACGUAGGGCGCAAGCGUUAUCCGGAAUUAUUGGGCGUAAAGAGCUCGUAGGCGGUUUGUCGCGUCUGCUGUGAAAUCCGGAGGCUCAACCUCCGGCCUGCAGUGGGUACGGGCAGACUAGAGUGCGGUAGGGGAGAUUGGAAUUCCUGGUGUAGCGGUGGAAUGCGCAGAUAUCAGGAGGAACACCGAUGGCGAAGGCAGAUCUCUGGGCCGUAACUGACGCUGAGGAGCGAAAGGGUGGGGAGCAAACAGGCUUAGAUACCCUGGUAGUCCACCCCGUAAACGUUGGGAACUAGUUGUGGGGUCCAUUCCACGGAUUCCGUGACGCAGCUAACGCAUUAAGUUCCCCGCCUGGGGAGUACG